rnacentral:rRNA from 1 species
AGAGUUUGAUCAUGGCUCAGGACGAACGCUGGCGGCGUGCUCAUACAUGCAAGUCGACGAGAAAGUUUCCUUCGGGAAGCGAGUAAAGUGGCGAACGGGUGCGUAACACGUGGGCAAUUUGCCUUGAAGUCGGGGAUAACAUUCCUAACGGAGUGCUAAUACCGGAUGUGUUCGAUGAGGGGCAUCCCUUAUCGAGUAAAGAUGGCGCGCAAGCGCUGUCGCUUCAAGAUGAGCCCGCGGCCUAUUAGCUAGUUGGUAGGGUAACGGCCUACCAAGGCAACGAUGGGUAGCCGGCCUGAGAGGGUGACCGGCCACAUUGGGACUGAGAUACGGCCCAGACUCCUACGGGAGGCAGCAGUAGGGAAUAUUGCGCAAUGGGCGAAAGCCUGACGCAGCAACGCCGCGUGAGUGAUGACGGCCUUCGGGUUGUAAAACUCUGUCAGAUGGGAAGAACCCUGGUCGAUUGCUAAGAUCGGCCGGCUGACGGUACCAUCAGAGGAAGCUCCGGCUAACUCCGUGCCAGCAGCCGCGGUAAUACGGAGGGAGCUAGCGUUGUUCGGAUUUACUGGGCGUAAAGGGCGCGUAGGCGGUUAUGUAAGUCAGAUGUGAAAACCAUCGGCUCAACCGAUUGGAUGGCAUUUGAUACUGCAUGACUUGAGUUCAGUAGAGGAGAGCGGAAUUCCCAGUGUAGCGGUGGAAUGCGUAGAUAUUGGGAAGAACACCAGUGGCGAAGGCGGCUCUCUGGACUGAUACUGACGCUGAGGCGCGAAAGCUAGGGGAGCGAACAGGAUUAGAUACCCUGGUAGUCCUAGCCGUAAACGAUGGGUGCUAGGUGUUGGGGGUUUCCAUGCCCUCAGUGCCGCAGCUAACGCAUUAAGCACCCCGCCUGGGGAGUACGACCGCAAGGUUGAAACUCAAAUGAAUUGACGG